GGUGGCUCAGAGGUAGAGUACUUGCCUUGCAUGCAUGAGGCUUUGGGUUCGAUCCCUCAGCACCA
rnacentral:tRNA from 1 species